GAUCAUGGCUCAGAUUGAACGCUGGCGGCAUGCCUUACACAUGCAAGUCGAACGGUAACAGGUCUUUCGGGAUGCUGACGAGUGGCGAACGGGUGAGUAAUACAUCGGAACGUGCCUAGUAGUGGGGGAUAACUACUCGAAAGAGUGGCUAAUACCGCAUGAGAUCUAUGGAUGAAAGCAGGGGACCUUCGGGCCUUGUGCUACUAGAGCGGCCGAUGGCAGAUUAGGUAGUUGGG
rnacentral:rRNA from 1 species